rnacentral:rRNA from 1 species
UCUGGUUGAUCCUGCCAGUAGCAUAUGCUUGUCUCAAAGAUUAAGCCAUGCAUGUCUAAGUAUAAAUAGCAUACAGUGAAACUGCGAAUGGCUCAUAAAAACAGUUAUAGUUUAUUUGAUAAUGGAAGCCUACAUGGAUAACCGUAGUAAUUCUAGAGCUAAUACAUGCGUCAAGACCUGACUGAAUUGAAAGGUUGUAUUUAUUAGAUACGAAGCCAAUAUUCCUUCGGGAUUAUUGUGGUGAGUCAUAGUAACUGAUCGAAUCUCCCAAUAUGGAGAUAAAUCAUUCAAGUUUCUGCUCUAUCAGCUUUUGAUGGUAGUGUAUUGGACUACCAUGGCAGUCACGGGUAAUGGAGAAUUAGGGUUCGAUUCCGGAGAGGGAGCCUGAGAAACGGCUACCACAUCUAAGGAAGGCAGCAGGCGCGUAAAUUACCCAAUCCUGAUUCAGGGAGGUAGUGACAAGAAAUAACAACCCGGGGGAUUCACGUCCUUACGGGAUUGCAAUGAGAACAAUUUAAAUCACUUAACGAGGAUCAAUUGGAGGGCAAGUCUGGUGCCAGCAGCCGCGGUAAUUCCAGCUCCAAUAGUGUUUAUUAAAGUUGUUGCAGUUAAAAAGCUCGUAGUUGAACUUCUGGCAGUGUGCAGUUAUGGUUCUUAUCAGGCUGCAUUGCUGCCAUCCGUCUGCAAACCCUAUGCAACCUUUAGUGGCUUGGUGGGGGGAGUAGACAUUUUACUUUGAAAAAAUUAGAGUGUUUCAAGCAGGUUAUCGCCAGAAUACUUUAGCAUGGAAUAAUGGAACAGGACUCUUGUCCAUUUGGUUGGUUAUUGGACCAGAGUAAUGAUUAACAGGGACAGUUGGGGGCAUUAGUAUUUAAUUGUCAGAGGUGAAAUUCAUGGAUUUAUUAAAGACUAACUUAUGCGAAAGCAUUUGCCAAGGAUGUUUUCAUUAAUCAAGAACGAAAGUUAGGGGAUCAAAGACGAUCAGAUACCGUCCUAGUCUUAACUAUAAACGAUGUCGACUCGGGAUUGGAAAGGUAUUUUUAUCCUUUCCAGCACCGUAUGAGAAAUCAUUAAGUUUUUGGAUUCUGGGGGGAGUAUGGUCGCAAGGCUGAAACUUAAAGGAAUUGACGGAAGAGCACCACCAGGCGUGGGACCUGCGGCUUAAUUUGACCCAACACGGGAAAACUUAUUUCAGUAAAACAUGAGUGGGAUUGACAGAUUGAGAGCUCUUUCUUGAUUUUAUGGGGUGUGGUGCAUGGCCGUUCUUAGUUGGUGGAGUGAUUUGUCUGGUUAAUUCCGUUAACGAACGAGACCUUAACCUGCUAACUAGUCAGGGUGUUAAAUUACGCUACUGUACUUCUUAGAGGGACUAUGGGUAACAAGCCCAUGGAAGUUUGAGGCAAUAACAGGUCUGUG